GGCACUGAACUGAGACUCGGAAGACUGGGGUUCUAUUCACUGCUCUGUCACUGACCUUUGUGCAACUGUAGGUAAUCAUUUUGCCGCUCUGUGCCUUGGCUAUUUAGAUUAUAAAUUCUUUCUUAUAGGAACUCUUUCUUAUUAUAUGUAUGUACAGCUCCUAGCACAAGGGGACCUCAACCUUGUCUGAGGCACCUAGGUGCUGCUGUAAUGUGGCCAAUACUAAUGUCACUCUUGGAAAGGCAGGGAUGGUGAGAGGCGUACAUCAAACAAUUCACACUGCUUCUGAUUUCAAAGAGUUCUUUUUAUUUUCAGUCACACACAUAGAGUAUUUAUUCAUACACAAUAAAUUUAAAAUCUCGAGUGUCUUUUUUUUUUUUCUUUCCUUCUAAAAAAAUAUAAUUAGUUCAGGACCGGAGCCGCAUGUAUGUAAUUUCCUGAAGUGAUUAUACUUUUCUGAAAAGUCCGGUGCUGUUUGGAGCUGGAGUUUGGGUGUGGAAAAAAAAAGACCGUCAGACUUUUACACUGCACUGCUGUAGAGGAACCGUGCACGUACCUCCUUCUCACACCAGAACAAAAUCAGUCACAAACAGUACAAAAAAAAUGAGCUUCUAUUUGUUUUACAUAAAGGAAUUACAUCUAGUCUUAGUAAUUGAACAUCCUCUUCCUCCUCAAUUGUUCAAUCUCGAUAAGAUUCUAACCCUAAUCCCACCUGCUUUAUUUAGACAAAACUCCUGCCGGACAUAAAGCAGGAAUUUUGCCUCACUGAGGAAUGCAAGGUUGGGCCUAGGUUAGUGUUGUUGUUAAAGUGAGAAUAUAGGCAUCGGUUCCAUGCAGCAGCAAUGAUUGUAGUUAGCGUAGGAGCUUCGCUUUCCAAACAAGUCCCUAACUCUAAACUACCUGGCAUCCAUGCAUGAGAUAAGGAAGAAAACACAAUGCAUUGUUUGCCAAUAUACAUGGCUCCUGCAGUAGUUGUUUUGGGUGGGAGUGAUUUCAUUCUAGGGGUUGGGUGUGAAAGGAAAAAGGUUUAUUUUGGGGGCACUCCAUACUUUAUCACCCUCCUGUUAGUUAAAAUAGUCAUUGUUUUAAAUCCUGCAGGCCUGAAGAAUGGCAUUUUCUUUUCCAGCCUUGGGAACUGCCUGCCUCAGUCUUCUGAAUUUUAGCCUGUUAAGGGGAGGUAAGUCAAUGCCCUGGGAGUUAGUUAAAACAGGUCUGGUGAGAGACUUAGUGUAGAAUUUUGCUAGCUAACCAAAAGGUGUCACUGAAAUUCCAUGUGAAAACAAUGUUGCAUUUCCUUUUGCUUAGUGAGGGACAUGACAACCAGAACAAAAAAGCAUCAAUCAAAUGAUAUGUUUGUAAAGGGCCCAAUUCUGAAAACGAGUGCCAAACCUAAGUAACUGGGAUUUGCGUCCAGGACACUGUGCUGAAGCAAGUCAUAGCAGAGAAACCACUCCCGCCGGUUAUGGAAGGAGGAACAGGUGCCAUGGUCCACAGCUUCCCUCCAGUGCAGGGGCUUGGCACUUAUUGAUUCAUAGGCUGUUCUUGUGACAUGCCUCCCUUUACUCGUCUUCCCUCUUUUAAAGUAGGGAGAACAACCAGUGAAGGGGCAGCACACCAUGGGGGAAGGAGGAUCUCCUGGCACGGGGUCUCCAAACCUGGCCCUCCAGCAGCAUGUGUGGUGUGGAAUCCCACUUAGGAUCUGGGCUGUAAGUAGCAGUUUACAUUUUUUUUCCCAAGCAUUUUUCUGUAUUAAAACCAUUUCCUAUCAGAAUAUGUUGCUUUGUCCCAUUGUGCUCAUUUAAUUUGGUAUCUACUAACACAACAAUGCUUAUAAUGAAAUCAUUUGCUACUGACAUGACUCUCAGGUGUGUAUCCAUCAGUUUGCAAUGCUAAACGUAGCACCAGCUACAAAAUUGCUUAUAAUGACAGAGUUGUUCUGACUGACUGAUCAGCAUGCUAAUAAGGUACCAGUUCUUUAAUUUAUGUAAAUCACAUGGCUUGGCUGAAACUAUUGUUCCACACUUAUUAUAGCCUACUUCAUUUUCUUUCAAUGUUUUUUUAAAAAAAGCUAUUUUUUCCCUCAUGAAAGUUUAAGCAAUAGCAAUAAAGCAAUUGCACUACAUCUAUUAUUAUGAAUGAGACAAUUGCAUUCCUGGAAAAAUAGAAAGAAUGCCUUGUGCAUUGUAAUACCCAUGAAUUAUGGUUAUAACACUCCUAACCAUAUCCUUUCAUUGUGCCUUAAAAAGUGCGCUAAAAUUACAUACAGUAAAAUCUACACAAGACACCCUGCUUAAUAGGCAGCCUCCUGUGUUGAGACCACUCCCAAAUACCUUGGUCCUAAGGUCAUCCAUCCCCACAAUAUCUGAGUUCCUGUAGCUUGUGUCAAUACUGGUGUGUACAACACUCCCAAAUCAGAAUAGGCAUGUAUUGCACAAAUUUUCACAUGUAUAAACACCACCACAAGGCACUACAGAAUCAGGUCCCUUAGGACCAAUUCUGCACUACCUUCUAACUGACUUUUGCCAUCUCUUUGGACAAUGGCUUAAGACAGGUCUCAUUGUAUUUCACAUACUGUGCAUUUCUAGAUACUGUAAACAAUGAUACAGAUUGCAUUUCAGGAAAGGUGUUCUGAUAUUGAAAGGGGAAAAGUAUGUUAGAUCCUCUGUUCAUAACUAGCAGAUAACUGAUACUUAGAGAAAUGCAUAUGCUUGAGUUCCUCAUCCAAGAGAUGUCUGAAUUGACACUGUUUUACAGAAAAAUUGGCUUGGCAAAUAAUCUCCAUUUACUUAGAAAACACCAGGAAUUUUACAGUUCAUUCUUCAAUUUUUUGAUAAUAUGGUGCUAUGUAUUACCCUAAAUACUAUUCCAUUUGAUUUUUUUUCUGCAAAAAUAACAUAACAUGCUCCUUCUCUCAUUCACACUGUGAUGUGACUGUUCCUUGCAUAUUACCCUUAUAGCAUGUAUGCCAGUAAUUCAGUGGAAUUAUACUCUCCUUGCCUGCUCUUUGAGGAACUAAUGAAUUUGCAUUUUAUAGCAGAGGAAGAGUAUAAGGUUGAUACAAAUACGACUUUUCUUAGGGAACAUCUGCUCUAAACAAUGUAUCAUGGAUUUGAGUAUAAUCACAAUUUUUAAAAAAGCCUUCUGACAGGCCAAAAUGACUUCCUUAAUCAGUAAGCACCAUACAUCAUCGUCGUCUUUUAAAAAGACUGCAUUAAUCUUAUUUUUAUCUACUGUAUAUCUGAUGUAAUAUCUCUUAUUGGAGUGUUCAUAUAGAAGACAUGAAUUUAAUUUUAUAGAGACUAAUUGUCAUAAAUUUUGCUAUGCCAGGGAGCAUCAGUGUUGUGUAGAUGAUAAUACUAACCUCACUGAGCCCUUAAGAUUUAAAUAGAGAAUGAUUGAUCAGAAAUAUGUAGGUUCUUUGGAACACCGGGUAAUUCGAACUAUUCAGAAAAAGCCAGCUCGAUAGGUGGGUAUAACUUAUCAAAGCUACAUCACACUCACAUUCUUUAUCACAAUCUCUUUGGACCUGAUUCUGCCAUUCUUAUGUGAAUGAUACUAAAAGGGACCAUUUACAGAUGAAGAUAUUAAUUAGCAUGGUGACAAAGUCAGACCCUUUCUGAUGGCAGCUCCCAACACUGCCAAAUUGCACCACAUCAGAAAUAUAAUUUCAUUAUACACUAAACUGGAUCUGAAAGUAGUUAUUUUUCAAACAGACGAUAUUUUGGAUCCAUGCUCCCCAUGACAGAACUCACUGUGUAUUAAUUUACUGUACUUGAAGGCUGGACCUGACGGUAGGGUUUCAUCAUACAUUAUAUUUUUGGGAAGCAACAAGAAUUACAGCUAAAUAGGUAAUCUUUUUCCAAAGUUACCAGUUGAAAUAGAUCUCUUACUCUGUACUACCACUACCUUAUGCAGUGUGGUUGCACACACACAGUGUAUACCCAAGGGUAGGAAUCCACUAAAUAAUUGACUUUAGAGGGUAAGAAUUACAGGUAGAUAACUUGCUUUUGUUUGGGAAGUAGGCUAUGUGUUAAACAUACUUUAAAUGGGGCUUUCAGCAGGGGUCUACAUAGUUACCGCAUCCUCCAGUUGCUUUUACUGUAUCGGGGCUCAUUGGGAUUAUAUUUUAUUUCAUGUACGCUAUUACAGAGUCCACGGAUCUUAAACCCAAUGGAAAGCUGAAAGAAGCAAAGACAACAUGAAGGUUAUACAUACAGCUUUAUAAGGCCACAUUCUGAAGAGUAAUGUGAAAACUGCAGCCAUAGGAGAUGAGAGAAGUAAGUUUUAACUCCCUACAGUAAUACAAACCAGCAUAGGCAAGGAGUAAUUGGGGGAUAUUCUUGGUUGUCAACUCUGCCCUGUCCAGCACUAAACCCAGUGUGUGCUAUGUGCACGGAAGGGUUUGCAAUUAAAACAAUACUACAGUCAACUUGCUGAAAGAGAUGCAUCACAAAUCUGGAGUGGAAUCUUUCUCCAAGUCCCUGAGCUCUGGCUUCAUUGUGUGUCACAAUGGUGCCAACACACUUAGUGCAUUAAAGGGUAGUAGCUGUGUCUAUGUAGGUUGCUUUGUAUGCUGCACUGUUAAAGGUGUUUGGGAUGACACUUCUGUUAUUCCGUCACUAACACCAGAAAAGGAGACAGGGGAGUUAACACUCAUUACAACAAUUCAGUCCCUAAGUUUUAGAAAUCAUACAUUUUGCUGCUGGUGAGUGAAAGAUUAUAGUGACACUGUAAUUUUAUUGCCACUAACCAUUUAUUGCCAUUAACAUACUUGAUCAUGCAGGAGGUCCGCAAGAUAAAAGCAAGCAGCUCGGUGGUGCUGCCACUUGUCCAAUUGAUCCAUCUGGAGUCACCAACUGUGAGUGUUGCAGAAUUAUCCAGGCAAGUUGAAUUUGCCUCUUUUGGGGUGGGGAAGAGGAUGAGAGGGUCUACAAGUGCCAGAGAGAACACUAGGGGUAAGUGCAUUUAUGCUUAAACAAUAUGCACUGACCUUUCAGGAAACUGAAUAAUAAAUACAAAAAGCAAUCAUCUGCCACUGCUAAGAACCCACAUUGACCAGGGCUCUGCCUUAGAACUCCAAAGUUCACAUUAUUCAGAUAUAGGGUUUCAUUUCUCAUUAGGUGCAGUGCCUUUAAAUACCAGGCCCUCUCUUUUUCUCAGUCCUUUCCCCUUCUGGCUAAGGGGUCUCGGAAAUUAGCAGUUGUGCUUUUCAGUAAGGUUUUAUGCAAACUCUUCUUUUAAAUUUCUCUUUGUUCAUGCUCCUUUGAAUUGGGGUUAAAAUCAUGCAGGACUGAGUCUGAUUGUUCUACCUGAAACAUAGCCUCUGCUUAUGUAAAUCUUACAGCAAGAGCUGCAACCAGGACUGUUUAUGAUGGGUUCACAACUACAGUGUUUAGGGUCAUUAAAAAAAUCACUGUUCUACAAUAAAGAGUGUAGGUUCACUCUACAUUUCUUUCAGGUUAGACCCAAGGCUUGUUUUGUUUGGGUUUUUUUAAACUCAUUGGCAAACCUGGUCCACAUUUUGCUUUGUAGGGACCCCUCAAAUCUCUCCUCUUGGCUUGGGGAGGGUCUCAUCAGAGUCCAGCACACCAGUAAUUCUUUCCCCUAGUUUUAGGGUAAGGGAGUAGGACUGAAGCUGAAAAGAUAAGAUCUGGUUUUGGAGAAUGUAAGGCAAAUAAUCCUGAUGCCUCCUGGCAUAAAUUGAUCACCAGGAAUAACUUUUUCUGCACCAUUAUAUAUACUAUUGCACCUUGAGGGGUAUUUUCCACCAGCUAUGUGCCUGAAGCAUCAGGGACUGAUCCCUGUUACCUACUGGACUCAAUGGGCCAGUUCAAGGAUGGCAAUUUCAAUGUCAUUUCAUUUGUGCUUCUUCAGAUGUUAGGCAGGAGUUGAUGGCAGAGUGGUAUUUUCAUAGCACCUGCAGAUGAUUUCUUGCCCAUAUCUAUACAGGACUCCCUCCCCCCCCCAACAUAUGUCAGUCAGUGAGUAGAUGACCUUAAAAGAUUUUCCAUCCCACAAACCGUUGGUUGUUCCUGGAAAAUGAAAGACAGUGAUUUCAAUGUCUGCCUAUAUAGGCUGUAGAGAGACAAGGUGGAUGAGUUAAUAGCUUUUUAUUGGACCAACUUCUAUUGGUGAAAGAGACAAGCAAGAGCUCUGUGUAGCUAGACAGUUUGUCUCUCUCACCAACAUAGGUUGGUUCAGUAAAAGAUAUUACCUCACCCACCUUGUCUCUCCAAUAUCCUGGAACCAAUGUGGCUAUGACACCACUGCAAAAAACAUAUAGUUUGUAAUAAGAUGAGAUCACACAUUUUCUUCCUGCAGAGCUGGAAGUUCUUAACCAUCUUGAAAUUCCUUUCACAAUCCUCCUUUGAAUGGGAAAUGUUUUAGUUGCUCAAAUCCUUUGUUCUACAUUUACAGUAUCUCCCCUAUAAGGAGACUUGGCACAAGCAUUCAGAAAAGUAGUUAUUUUUUUCACUGGCCCAGUUACUGUUAUACACAAAUAUGUGUCCUGCUGGGAUAUGGACAGAGCUUUCAACUGAGGCAUCAACAAGACAAACAAUAAUUAAUCCUUCCCUGAGGCCUAUUUUAAAAUAUGACAAAUCCAUUAAGAAAUCACUAGUAAUUAAACCAACUAAACUUGCUCAUAAUGCACCAUACACUAGGAGACCCAUAAUCACAUGUUCUUGAAGACAUGCUAGCUUAGCAAUUCAGGCUUCAAGCUGUGCAGUUAAUAGGAGGACACUAUGAUUAAAAAUCAUGACCAUCUGCUGGAGAAGGCACAGUUCAUUAACCUGAAAUGGAGUUCACGCUUUAUUUGUAUUGCUUUGAGGAAGGUCUUAGCCAGGGAGCAGUUUAAUUGGAGAACGUGUUUUUCUAAACAAUAGUAUGAUGCUACCCCCAAAAAACCCCUACAGGAGACAGACCACAUUGCCAUUAGUAAUGUGGAGAGAGCCAAAAUGACUGGUUGUUGGCCAGUUUCAAUCUACAGGACCAUCAGGCUUUAGUUUUCCAUCACACCAGCACCUGCCUCCACCAUUCAGAUUGACUGAAGCCAUACCAAACUUCUAAGCUGAAUUAGAACCUGCACUAAUAUGCUUAACCCAGCCUUACAGUCUCCUCAUUAAUUUUUGCCAGGCACAAAGUCCACUUGCUGAUCUUAAUCCCAAUGAUGAUACUGCGCUCUUACCUAUGUGCCCUGAACAAAUGGACAGAACGUUGGGUUUCGCAGGCAGGCGGCUAGUCACCUGCAACAACCGAGGGGUCCUGCAGAAGCUUCCAAGCUGCUGUCGGUGUCAGAU